rnacentral:rRNA from 1 species
GUACCAGACUCCUACGGGAGGCAGCAGUGAGGAAUAUUGGUCAAUGGCCGGGAGGCUGAACCAGCCAAGUCGCGUGAGGGAAGACGGCCCUACGGGUUGUAAACCUCUUUUGUCAGGGAGCAAGGUGCAGGUCGGGACCUGCUGUGAGAGUACCUGAAGAAAAAGCAUCGGCUAACUCCGUGCCAGCAGCCGCGGUAAUACGGAGGAUCCGAGCGUUAUCCGGAUUUAUUGGGUUUAAAGGGUGCGUAGGCGGUUUGAUAAGUUAGAGGUGAAAUGUCGGGGCUCAACCCCGAAACUGCCUCUAAUACUGUUGGACUAGAGAAUAGUUGCGGUAGGCGGAAUGUAUGGUGUAGCGGUGAAAUGCUUAGAGAUCAUACAGAACACCGAUUGCGAAGGCAGCUUACCAAACUAUAUCUGACGUUGAGGCACGAAAGCGUGGGUAGCAAACAGGAUUAGAUACCCGGGUA